rnacentral:rRNA from 1 species
GAUGAACGCUGGCGGCGUGCCUAAUACAUGCAAGUCGAGCGAACGGACGAGAAGCUUGCUUCUCUGAUGUUAGCGGCGGACGGGUGAGUAACACGUGGAUAACCUACCUAUAAGACUGGGAUAACUUCGGGAAACCGUAGCUAAUACCGGAUAAUAUUUUGAACCGCAUGGUUCAAAAGUGAAAGACGGUCUUGCUGUCACUUAUAGAUGUAUCCGCGCUGCAUUAGCUAGUUGGUAAGGUAACGGCUUACCAAGGCAACGAUUCAUAGCCGACCUGAGAGGGUGAUCGGCCACACUGGAACUGAGACACGGUCCAGACUCCUACGGGAGGCAGCAGUAGGGAAUCUUCCGCAAUGGGCGAAAGCCUGACGGAGCAACGCCGCGUGAGUGAUGAAGGUCUUCGGAUCGUAAAACUCUGUUAUUAGGGAAGAACAUAUGUGUAAGUAACUGUGCACAUCUUGACGGUACCUAAUCAGAAAGCCACGGCUAACUACGUG